rfam:Oryza nivara chromosome 4, whole genome shotgun sequence.
AAAAAGACAGACCCUAGGUUUUCAUGUCCAGCGUUCGAUUGUCCGUCUUAUAUAAAUUUUUUUUAUAAUUAGUAUUUUCAUUGUUGUUAGAUGAUAAAACAUGAUUAAUACUUUAUGCGUGACUUGUCUUUUUAAUUUUUUAAUAAUUUUUUUUAAAUAAGACGGACGGUCAAACGUUGGAACGGCAACUGAGGGUUUGUCUUUUU